GGCGGGGUGGGGGCAGCGGCUGAGACCAUCGAGCGUGGGGAGCACUCUCCUCCCUCUCCCCGGAGCGUGCACGGAGGAGGUGCCGGGAGCGUCACGUGGAUGGGAGCCCGGUGGGAGAGCUACCCCUUCGGACUGUAGUGACUCACUUUGUUUUGGAGGAGGAAGUGUCCCCGCGCCGCCCCGGGCUCUUUUCGGAAACAGAGCGGAGGAACUGGCCGCACGUGCCUGUGACCACGCUGUCCGCGCAGCACCAGAGGGGGCAACGCCAGCCAUCCAGGUCAAGGCAGCGCUCCAGCGGAAACGCGUGACCCUGACCGGCAGGGCCCUUCCUCUGUCUUCCCCAGCCCAAACGGAAAGAGGAAUGUCAGAGCCAGAGCAAUUUCACAAGCCCAAGCCCCACUUCCUCUCUGAAGCUGUGACUACUCGACCGGGUGAUGGGUGACUGCCCUUUUCCUAAAGCAUCUGAACUUACUGCAAGCACCUUUUGGUCCACUGAGUCAUUCAUUCACUCAAGUUUCUAUCAUAAGAGCCACUGUGUUCAGGUCAGCUUAAUGUUUAGUCUUCAAUUAAAUUGUAGACUUAAGGUUAAGAACCAUAUCUCUUUUUCUCCUUACUAAGCACAUACUCUUUUUUCUUUUUAAUAUGUAUUUAUUUAUUUGGCUGUGUCAGGUCUUAGUUGUGUCAUGCGGGAUCUUUGUUGCAAGGCACACACUCUCUGGUUGUGGCAUGCAGGCUCCGUAGUUAGCCCCCGUCACCACCACCUUCUCCUUGCUUUGCCCCAUAAUGAACCUUGUCUGCUACAAGCUCCAGCCAUGUGGAAUUGUUUGGCCUCACUUGCCUUCAGUAAUACAGGGAGGGCAGAUGGGCCUGGGGGAUGGGGGGAGCCCCACUGCUCCUAGGGGGUCCUCCUGCUCCGCAGCCACGGAGCACCCUAUCUCCCCAACUUGGGCCACAUUGGACUCCAACGUAACAGCCAUCUCCUGGCUUCUAUUCAAUCCGUGACUUUUUCCUAGCUCCUUAGAUUCCCCAGAAGGAGUCAAAUCAGUUCAGUUCAGUUCAGUCACUCAAUCUCAUACACGACUGAAUGACUGAACUGAACUGACUGAACUGAUAAGCACCAAAUCUGUGAUACCCAAUAUGCGAUGUGUUCCCUCCUUGUGCAGUGCCCAGCCUGUAUAAUCAUAUGUGACAGAGGCUGUGAGGAGUAAAAUAUUGUCUAGGGAAAUUCAUGUGCUUGAUAGUAGCUCUGUCCGGAGAGAUUGUAACUCCUUGUCAGAAAGGUACAGAGUCUAUGGGCAGGUCCUCCCGUGAUGAUGGAAAAGUUCUGCACAUGUGUCUCCAGUACACACCUGCUGAAUGCAGCCAGUAAGACUAAGGAACUAAACUUUAUAUUUGAUUUAAUGCUGCUGACCCAUCCUGCUCCAUCUUACAGGAAUGCCUUAUUUCUCAAGACUCUCCUACAUUUGAAUGAAUGAAUGAAAGAAUGAACAAACGUUACUAUUAAACCCUGAACACAACUGACACAGAGCAAUGAAAAUAUUUAUGCUGACAAUAGAAAGCAC
ensembl:lncRNA